GAGGCUACAAGACAAAGACUGGGAAAGGUAGGGGAAAGAAGAGAAUAUGGAGAGAUUUGUUAAAGGAUACAAAAUUAUGGCUAGAUGGGAGGAAUAAGCCCUAGUGUUCUAUAGCACUGUAGGAUGGCUAUAGUUAACAAUAAUUAUUAUACAGUUUUGAAUAGCUAGAAGGAGGAUAUUGAAUGUUUCCAAUACACAAAAAAAUGAUGCUUGAGAUGAUGGCUGUUCUAAUUACCCUGCUGAUUACUAUACAUUAUAUGAAUCAAAACAUCACUAUAUACCCCACAAAUAUGUACAAUUAUUUUGUGUCCAUUAAAAUUUUUUAAUUUGAAAAUUAUAAAACAUAAACAUUUAAAUUUAGCUGCCCUGGAUGUUUGGGACAGGAAAUAUUUCAAAGCAAAUCCAUGCCAUUUUUCAUUUUUCACCAUCUUUUCUCUACUCACCCACAAGCCAAACACACACGUAUCUUUCACAAAUUAGUUCAAAGAAACCUAUACGAACAUCAAGAAAAAAGAGCAAUCUACAUGUCUGUAGGUAUGAGAGCAUUUUACAAAUCAUAGAAAGAAAUCUGAGGGCAGGGAUGGAAGGAUGUGAAGUUGCAGUGUGCCGAGAUCGUGCCACUGCACUCCAGCCUGGGCAACAGAGGGAAACCCUGUUUCAAAAAAAAAAUGCAACUCAACUGAGCAUUUUGUGAUGAAUUCAACCUUGUCUUACACAAAUAUUUGAACUAUUGCUUUUUUGGUUUGAAUUUAUCAAUUGAGUCUUUGCCCGUACUUCUGUUCCCAACUUUUGAGGCACUGUGUUGUGUUUUAUUUUUAUUUAUUUUUUAUUUUGAGGACAGGGUCUCACUUUGUUGCCAGGCUGGAUUGCAGUGGCAUGAUCAUAGCUCACUGCAACCUCAAACUUCUGGGCUCAAAAGAUCUUCCUGCCUCAGCCUCCCAAGUAGCUAGGACUACAAGUAUGUGCCACCAUAUCUGGCUAAUUUUUUAAAUUUUUUGUAGAGACUGGGUCUUGCUGUGCUGCCCAGGCUGGUCUCAAACUCCUGCAUUCAAGAGAUCCUCCCGCUUUGGCCUUCCAAAGUGCUGGGAUUACAGGCAUGAGCCACUGUGCCUGGCCACACUACAUUUUAGAUCUCAGGUCAGCAAACUAAACUAUUUCUUACAGGACAAAUGUGGCCCACUGUCUGUUUUUGUAAAUAAAGUUUUAUUGGAACACAGCCAUGCUCAUUCAUUUACAUACUGUCCAUGCCUACUUUUGUGCUAUAAUGGUAAAAUUUAAUAGCUGCAACAGAUACUAUAUGGCCACAAAAAUAAAACUAUUUACUAACAUGUUAUUUGUUGAUCCCUUUUAGAUGCAACUCUUGUUGGGUUUGACUUUUUGCUCCAAUCUGAAUCAUUUUACUUUUGAGCAAUUUUUUUUUCUUUUCUUUUUUUUGAGACAGUGUCUCACUCUGUCACCUAGGUUGGAGUGUAGUGGCACAAUCACCACUCACUGCACCCUCAACCUCCAGGGCUCAAGCAAUCCUCCCACCUCAGCCUCCUGAGUAGCUGCGACUAAAGGCACAUACCACUACACAGUGCUAAUUUUCUGUAUUUUUUGUAGAGACGAGGUUUCACCAUGUUGCCUAGGCUGGUCUUGAACUUCCGGUCUCAAGUGAUCUCC
rnacentral:lncRNA from 1 species